UUUUUCAUACCAAAUCUAAUAUCAUUAUCUCUUCUGUAUUUAGGUUCGACUAGUGAUAGUGGAUGGUAUUGCUUUUCCAUUUCGUCAUGACCUAGAUGACCUAUCUCUUCGUACUCGGUUAUUAAAUGGCCUAGCCCAGCAAAUGAUCAGCCUUGCAAAUAAUCACAGAUUAGCUGUAAUUUUAACCAAUCAGAUGACAACAAAGAUUGAUAAAAAUCAGGCCUUGCUUGUUCCUGCAUUAGCCUCAGGGAUUUAGAGAUACUGUUGUUACUUCUGCAUGUUCAUUGCAAACAGAAGGUUCCUUGAGCACCCGGAAACGGUCACGAGACCCAGAUGAAGAAUUAUAACCCAGAAACAAAUCUCAAAAGUGUACAAAUUUAUUGAUGUUGUGAAAUCAUUGUGUACAAGUGGACUUGUUAAAGUAUAAAUAAACACACUAUGGCAUGAAUGAAUCCAAAUUAUA
rnacentral:sRNA from 1 species